rnacentral:ncRNA from 1 species
UUUCAGUGCCGCAGCGAUGCGGGUAAAAGGGAAUCAGGUUUAAGUCCUGAGCGAUCCGGUCACUGUAAGCGGGUAGCUGCGCAGCAAAAUAGGUCAUUGCGCUAUUAUUGCGUGAGAAGGCGCUGCAGCGGUGAUGAUCCGCAAGCCAGGAAACCUGCUGAAAGA